UCUAUCCAGGCCUCGUAUACUGCACGGA
rnacentral:sRNA from 1 species